rnacentral:rRNA from 1 species
GAUGAACGCUAGCGGCAGGCUUAAUACAUGCAAGUCGAGGGGCAGCACAGAUAGCAAUAUUGGGUGGCGACCGGCAAACGGGUGCGGAACACGUACACAACCUUCCUUUUAGUGUGGGAUAGCCCAGAGAAAUUUGGAUUAAUACCACAUAGUAUAUUGGAGUGGCAUCACUUUGAUAUUAAAGAUUUAUCGCUAAAAGAUGGGUGUGCGUAUGAUUAGGUAGUUGGUAGAGGUAACGGCUCACCAAGCCUUCGAUCAUUAACUGGUGUGAGAGCACGACCAGUCACACGGGCACUGAGACACGGGCCCGACUCCUACGGGAGGCAGCAGUAAGGAAUAUUGGUCAAUGGACGGAAGUUUGAACCAGCCAUGCCGCGUGAAGGAUGACGGCCCUCUGGGUUGUAAACUUCUUUUAUGUGGGACGAAAAAGGGCCAUUUUUGGUCAACUGACGGUACCAUAGGAAUAAGCACCGGCUAACUCCGUGCCAGCAGCCGCAGUAA